CUCUCUCUCUCUCUCUCUCUACAUUUUCAUGGCAGCAAAGCAUUGCUCUUCUCUUUCACUCAUGAUUAAUAUCUUCCUACUACUCUUCAUCGUUUUCCCAUGUUUUUUUCAUGAGGUGAUUUCAGAUCAAUCAAAAGGGAGAAGAAGAAUAUUACUUGCGCAUUACAAUUAUUCUCGUACAAAACAAAUGAUGGCGGUGCUUCAUCACCAAAAUGAAACUACUAGUACUCACAGGUUCAAGAAGAAGAAACAACCUCGUACCACCAGAAGGGCAUCUCCUGGCGGCGGCGGCGGUGGCGGUACGAGGUUGUCGGACGACAGACAGUUUCGUGGUGAUUUUCAUGAAGUCCCGAGUGGUCCGAAUCCAGAAUCCAACUGAUAUAUGUAUGUAUGUAUGUUAGAUGCAGUUUUUUGUGUUGUUCUGUAAGUAUAAUAUGGGGCUGGGCUAUAUUUCAUAGGGGAAAUUAAUUAAUUAAUUAAUUAAUUAAUUAAUUGCAAUUUUCUUUAUUUUAUUUUUAUUUAUUUAUUUUUGUAAGUACAUUGAUUAUUUUUUUUUCUUUUUUUGGCAUGUUAGAAUUUAAUUAGGGUUACACCUUACACAAUCAUCUCUUUUUCUUUUUCUUUUUUUUUUCCAAUUAAUUUGUUGCUCGUAUUGUUUGGUUAUGUUUCCAUCGGAAAACCCCGGAAAUUACACGAGAAAGGGUUCCCACGACGAAAAUUGUUCUUUUGCAUUAAUUUUUUUUUAAAAAAUCAAACCGUAUUAAUUAGGCAUUCCCAUAGGAUUAAUUAUUAUUGUGGAAAAUUCGCAAAUUAAA
rnacentral:lncRNA from 1 species